rnacentral:rRNA from 1 species
UACGAAGGGUGCAAGCGUUAAUCGGAAUUACUGGGCGUAAAGCGUGCGUAGGCGGUUUGUUAAGUCUGUUGUGAAAUCCCCGGGCUCAACCUGGGAAUGGCAAUGGAUACUGGCAGGCUAGAGUGUGUCAGAGGAUGGUGGAAUUCCCGGUGUAGCGGUGAAAUGCGUAGAGAUCGGGAGGAACAUCAGUGGCGAAGGCGACCAUCUGGGACAACACUGACGCUGAGGCACGAAAGCUAGGGGAGCGAAUGGG